GUUCUCUAUUCUGUUCCAUUGGUCGCUUUGUCUGUUUUUGUACCUGUCUUGAUUACUGUAGCUUUGUAAUAUUGUCUGAAGUCUGGGAGAGUUAUGCUUCCUGCUUGGUUUUUGUUCCUCAGGAUUGCUUUGGCAAUUCUGGGUCUUUUAUGGUUCCAUAAAAUUUUUGGAUUGUUGUAAUCAAAUGUUAUCGAUAAUUUUAAAGGGAUUGCAUUGAAUCUGUAAAAUGCUUUGGGUAGUAUGGCCAUUUUAAAGAUAUUAAUUCUUCUAAUCCAGGAGCAUGGAGUAUCUUUCCAUUUCUAUGAAUCCUCUUUAAUUUCCUUGCUUAAUGUUUUAUAGUUCUCACCAUAUAAGUCUUUCAUCUCCUUAAUCAGGAUUUUUCCUAGGUAUUUAGUUUUUGGGGGUGUGAUUUUAAAAAGCAUUGUAUUUUUAUAUUCCUUUUCCAAUAUUUCAUUGUUAGUAUACAGAAAUGCAACUGAUUACUGAAUGUUAAGCUUAUAUCCUGCUGCUUGACUGAAUUCAUUGAUUAAGUAGUUUUUGUGUGGAGUCCUUAGGGUUUUCUAUUUAUAGUAUCAUGUCAUCUGCAUAGAGUGACAGUUUUACCUCUUUUCUUCCAAUUUGGAUACCUUUUAUUUCUUUUGUUUGUAUGAUUGCUAUGGCUAGGACUUUGAUACUAUGUUGAAUAAAAGUGGUGAGAAUGGGUAUCCUUGUCUUGUUCCAGAUUUUAGUGGGAAGGCUUUCAGCUUUUCUCUGUUGAAUCUUAUAUUAGCUUUGGGUUUUUCAUAAAUGGCUUUUAUUAUGUUAAGGUAUGUUCCCUCUAUACCCACUUUGGUAAGAGUUUUUAUCAUGAAUGGAUAUUGGCCUUUGUCAAAUGUCUUUUCUGUAUCUAUUGAGAUGAUCAUGUUUUUGACUUUUCUUUUGUUAAUGAGGUGUGCGAAAUCAAUUGAUUUGCAUAUGUUGAAACAUCCUUGUGAACCUGGAAUGAAUCCCACUUGGUCAUGGUGUAUGAUCUUUUUUAUACUUUGUAGGAUUCUGUUUGCUAAAAAUUUAUUGAGAAUUUUUGCAUCUAUAUUCAUUAAAGAUAUUGGCCUAUAAUUUUCUUUUUAAAUAUUAUCUUUGUCUGUUUUUGGUAUUAGGGUGAUGGCAGCUUCAUAGAAUGUCUUCUGGCGUGUUCCUUCUUUAGCCUUUUGGAAACGUCUAAGAGGAAAGGGUAUAUGUUCUUCUUUGUAUGUUUGGUAGAUUUCCCCUGUGAAGCCAUCUGGUCCUGGACUUUUGUUUGUAGGGAGUGUUUUUAUUACAUAUUCAAUUUAAUUUCUAGUGAUCAGUCUGUUCAAUAUUUUUUUCUUCUUGAUUCAGUUUUGGUGGACUGUAUGUCUCUAGAAACUUGUCCAUUUCUUCUAGGUUGUCAAACUUGUUGGCGUAUAAUUAUUCAUAAUUUUCUCUUAUGGUUUUUUGUAUUUCUGCAGUAUCUGUUGAGAUUUCUCCUUUUUCAUUUCUUAAUUUGUUUAUUUGAGUUCUUUCUCUUCUUGGUAAGUCUGGACAGAGGUUUGUCAAUUUGUUUUAACCUUUCAAAGAACCAGCUCUUGGUUUUAUUGAUUUUUUUCUAUUGUUUUUUGAAUAUUUUAUUGAUUUCCUCUCUGAUCUUUAUGAUUUCCUUCCUUCUGCUGACUUUAGGUUUUGUUUGUUGUUCUUUUUCUCAUUUUUAGGUAGUAGGUUAAGUUGUUGAUUUGAGAUUUUUCUUCUUUUCUGAGGAAGGCCUGUAUCAUUAUGAACUUCCCUCUAAAUACUGCUUUUGCAGCAUCCCACAGAUUUUGAAUGGUUGUCUUGUCAUUUUCAUUUGUCUCGAGGUAUUUUUUAAUUUCCAUUUUGAUUUCCUAGUUGACCCAUUUGUUUUUAGUAGCAUGUUGUUUAGUCUCUAUGUAGUCAGUUUUUUCUCGUUUCUUUUCCUAUGGUUGAUUUCUGGUUUCAUGCCAUUGUGGGAAGAUACUUGAAAUAAUUUCUGUACUCUUAAAUUCACUGAGGUUAGUUUUGUGCCCUAGUAUGUGGUCAAUCCUUCAGAAUAUUCCAUGUGCAAUUGAAAUGAAUGUAUAUUCUGAUUUUUUGGGAUGUAAUGUCAAUUAAGUCUAACUUUUCUAUUGUGUCAUUUAGGAUCUCUGUUGCCUUAUUGAUUUUCUGUCUAGAGGAUCUAUCUAUUGAUAUGAGUGGGGCAUUAAAAGUCUCCUCCUAUUAUUGUAUUCCCAUCAAUUUCUCCUUUUCUGUCUAUUAGUAUUUGUUGUAGAUAUCUGCAUUCUCCUAUAUUAGGGGCAUAUGUAUAUAUAUAGCCUUGUUUUUAAGUCUAUUUUGGCUGGUAUGAAUAUUGCAACUCUUGCUUUCCUGUCUUUUCCAUUUAAUUAUUUUUAAGGAAAAAAUAAGAGGGAGUUCCUAUUGUGUCUCAGCAGGUUAAGAACCCAACGAGUCUCCUUGAGGAUAUGGGCCUGCUCCCUGGCUUGGCUUGGUGGGUUAAGGAUAUGUCAUUGCUGUGAGUUUGGUGUAAGUCACAGAUGUGUCUCGGAUCUGUUCUUGCUGUGGCUGUGGUGUAGGCUGGCAGCUGCAGUUCUGACUCAGCCCCUAGCCUGGGAACUUCCAUAUGCUG
ensembl:lncRNA